rnacentral:rRNA from 1 species
UACGUAGGUGGCAAGCGUUGUCCGGAAUUAUUGGGCGUAAAGCGCGCGCAGGCGGUCUUUUAAGUCUGAUGUGAAAGCCCACGGCUCAACCGUGGAGGGUCAUUGGAAACUGGGAGACUUGAGUGCAGAAGAGAAGAGCGGAAUUCCACGUGUAGCGGUGAAAUGCGUAGAGAUGUGGAGGAACACCAGUGGCGAAGGCGGCUCUUUGGUCUGUAACUGACGCUGAGGCGCGAAAGCGUGGGGAUCAAACAGG